rnacentral:lncRNA from 1 species
AUGAAAGAAGCGAAAAUAGGAAGGGAGAUUGAGGGGACCACACAAGUGAGUGUGAGAUCAGGACAUGCAGGAAGUCUGAAGGAUGAAGAAUCUGGCAUGAUAAUGACUGAAGUAUUGACUAAAAGCCCAAAGUCUUUAUUGAAAUCAGGACCUCCUGACUUGGGAAUGCACAGAAUUACCAAGCUCCACAUGUAUGUACAUAGAUCAGAAAAAUUCACGGCUCUGUCAGAGCCAAAAAAUAGCAGUGAAUCCUGUGAAGGCAGCAGUGAGAUCCUUGUUUUAGAGAUGACAGGACAGAGGCGUGAAGAGGUUUCCCUGGUUGCUUUGGGAAGGGAAUUCCACAGCUAG